rnacentral:lncRNA from 1 species
AACAAAAAUAAUGGAAAUCUGAUCUUGAUGACUUUUCUCUUUGUAUCAGUGGAAUGGAUUUAGGUGGAAUACUUGACAUGCUGGCAGGUAUGAACUCUUUGAUGUAGCCUGCUCAAACUUCUUCACGGCAGUUACAUUUUCUUUUAAGCUGAUUUGGUCGAAAAAACGAAUCCACCAAGAGGAACUCCGCAUUUUAGCCUUCAGAAACGAAACAGAUGUGUUAAUGAUAAGGUAAAUUUGAUCUUGAUACAUUCCGCAAAACAAAAAUGCUGAAUGACAGUUUUGAUUUUCGAUCAAAUGAAAGUUACAUAUAUACUAUGGUUCGUUUAAAUUCCAAAUCCUGUUGUUAUAGUAGAUGGAGACUUACUGGACGGCCGAAUUUCGAUAGUUCUGCCACUUUAGCCUUCUGAUGACCAGGGGUACCUGAUCGACAAAUGAAAAUAUAUCAUGUUAUAGUUAUGGUACAGCUUUUUUGCAAGAAAAUAUAUCUGGAUAUAAGCAUUUUCGGCCCGAGUAACUCUUGUUUUAUAAUUUAUAUAGAACUUGAAAGAGUAAGGGAUUACCUGCGAAAAUAAUGAGACCAUCAGAGGCAACCCUGGCCAACUCAAGCAGAGUCUUGUUCAGGUAUUUUGGAGAUAAGUAAUCAAGUGCAUCAGACACAAUAACAAGAGAAAAAGACUUUGGCUUAUAGGGAAGAGGGUACUUGAUAUCUGCCACACGUACAAUCCCUUUGCCCACAAGACUCUUGCAACUUUCUUCAACAUCCUCUAUAUCAUAUGGUUCCACACCCCAGGCUUCAGUAUCCUCUUCUUUCAAAAGUUUAGAGACAACUGAACAGGUAUCGGGUCCUACAUGCAAAACCUUGUGCAUGCUGUCCCCAUAUGCCUUCUUCAAAAAUGGUAUUGCCCUCUGAACUUCUAGACUGCAUGUAUAGUCACCUACAAAGAUAACAAGAAAUAAUUGAUUUUCAGAACAUUACACUCAAUGAAAACACACCCUUAACAGAGCAUGGCAAAUCCAUUAUAAUCAUAAACUUUCAGUCUUCCAUUUAUCACAGAAGAUGCAAACCAUAUCUAACUAAUAAAACCACCUCUGAUAAUCCCUUUUAUUCCUCGUGCCAAAAUUAAAUAAAAUCCCACCUUAUCUUUCAACUUUCCUUCCUCUAAGAAGUUAAAAGUAUCAUGGAAACCCCUAUACUAAGAGUCAUAUUGCAUUUUGCUCCCUCUACUAAAAAAUAGGCAAAUUAGUCACUGUUUAUUCGAUCAAAGAGCAAAUUGGUCUUUUCUUUUAAAAAUUUCAUCCCUUUGUAUUGUUAAAAACUAACAUGGAUAAAAGAAUAACUAGAUAGCGACACAUACGUGUACGUCCUGUUGACGUACAAGAACUAGUUUUUAAAGGUAAAAAUAGAUGAAAUUUUUUAUAAAAGGACCAAUUUGCUCUUUGAUUUAACGUAUAAGGACUAAUUUGCCCCUUUUUUUUCGUAUAGGGGCCAAAAUGAAAUCCAACUUCUAGUAUAGGGGCUUCUAUGAUACUUUUAACCCUCUAGAAAGCACUUCAGGAGAAGAUUAUGACAAAUUAUAAGAGAUUAUUCUAUGGUACAAGUAUCAAAUGCAAGAAAGCUCCAUAACCUUGAGAUGCAGAAUAAGGCCUCUAAGAUCAAUAUUUUUUUUUGUCCAAAAUAUUCUCUCCAAUGAAUAAAAAUAUCUUAUAUAUAUGCUCUCGGAUACAUAUGUGCAUUGAAUCUUAACUAAAUUUGAUAUAACAUGUGAACUCAUCCUCCCAAUUUAUCUACUCUACCAAACAAAGCAUUAAUGAAUCCAAUAAAUAUUCAAGUAGUUCCAAAGAGACAUGAUGACAUCAAAAUCAAAUAAAAAUCAGUAACUUAACGAGUUAAUUUCAUUAUGAACAUUAAAUCCAAUGAAGAAGAAAGUAAAAGCAUAACUUACCUUCGAUCCGACUAACCGCUUCACCUCGGAAUUUACCUAUAAACGCGAACAGUAUGAACAGUGUGAACAAUUAAUUGAACUAACAAGAUCAGCAUAUCCAACAAACAAAAACAAGUAAACACAAAUAAGAAAUUCUAAAAAAAAAGAAGAAUACCUGAACCACUAUAGGCAUAGCCAAUGAGAAGGAUAGCUCCCUGUAAACCAUUUUCAAAAAUAUUACCCUAGUUAAUUUCCUUUUCAAAAUGUAACACUAACUGAAAAUUUCAAAAAACAAAAAAGAAAUGAAAAGAUAAAGAUAUACCACAACGACAAGAGCGAUAGAUAAAAUAGGAGAAGAUCGGGCUUUAGAAUGUAAAGCACCAGAGAACGGGAAGUUUCCGCUGUCAACAAAGCGGCGUGUGGAACUUACUUGCCUCCUUGACAUUUUUGCUUUGCUUUUUACUCUUAUAAUAAUAUAUUUUAUGUAAUUGCUUACACUCUACCAAGCAAACAACAGAUUUACACAAAAUUUGAGCAAUUUCAUUGAAAAAACAAAACAGAUCCAAAAACAUGAGAAAGCUAACAUAAAAUGAAAGAAAUUAUGAAAUCAAAAAUCAAAAUUCACCUUAGAUUUGGAUUUUGGAUCUGAGAUCUGUGAAGGAAAAAAAGAAGCUUAUUUGGCUGUUUUUUUUCUUCGAACAGUAUACUAGUUUGAAUUUACACCAUUUUUGGCCAAAAAAGAGAAUUUAACAGCUAGUCGAGUUUGAAAGGGACUUGGGUUGGAUUGGAUACUCAGUAUUUUUAUUUUUAUUUUCAAUUUUUUUAAUUAAAUUUGUUUUUGCUUAAAGCUAAGAUCCAACGUGUUUUAGCGCGCCUUCGGGAGUUGUGUGAUACAUAUACAUAUACAGUUAUUAGCGCGUCGGUGAUAUGAUACGACGUCGCAUCAAUAGCUCGAAUAGCAAUGACGGCUAUUAGAUUUAAGGAUACCCUGCAAGUAAAAUAACAUUUCCUUCAAAAAAAAAUUAUAAAGUAAUUAUUAAAUUAUUUAAAACUUUUCGUUUAGAUAACUGGACUGUCAAAAUUUUUGUUGUUUAGUUUUCUAUUUGCAUAGCAUUUAUCAAUUGAAAAUUUUUAUUCCUCUUAUUUUUUACAGUUCAAUUUUUUUUUAUGAAAUAACUUUGAACGUAAUAAAUUUGAGAAUCAAAAUUCAACUAAUUUUUUUCUCCAGUCUUUGAAACUAACCAUCCGAUCGACUUAUAUCUAAAGUAUGUUCUACUCAUUAAUGAGUAUUAAUCACUACAUCGAUCAUUGAAUUUAUUAUUUGGAGUUCACUAAUAAUCCAAUGACAUAAAGAAAAACUUUUGAACAGAUCGAUUUUCUGCAUACUGGCUUGAAAGUGAUAGCAAAAUUUUGUUGCCCCAAUGGCAUGUUGAGCUUGAAAUGAAGAAAUAAAAAUCAAUGAAUCAUGUGCAAAACAUUUUGAAAUCAAAGUUAAAAGCAAUCUUAAAAUAAUCUAAAAGUUAAUACAUGCCAAUGAGUGCCAAUUACAAUACCAAUUGGAAAUAUAGACUACCUUGUCUCAUUUCAUGUUACGAGUUAUUUGAAGAGAAGACAAAUAGAAAUAUGGGUAAUCUCAUAAUAGGAAGCUAGAUUUACUUCCACAUUCAGAAAACAAUAUAACUAAAUAAAUCCAUGUCCACAACAAAUAGGUGUAAUUUUCCCCAUCGAUUGAAUUAAUAAAUAUCAAACCUGUAAUGUUAAGGGCAUUAACCCAUUGAUACCAACAUCUCUUUUACCAAAUUUAGUUCCCCAACAGAGUUACAUGUUGUAUGAGAGCUGAAGAUAUUUUUACUUCACCGUCAAUGCAUAUGACAAUAAAAAUAAUGGAAAUUUGAUCUUGAUGACUUUUCUCUUUGUAUCAGUGGUAUGGAUUUAGGUGGAAUACUUGACAUGCUGGCAGGUAUGAACUCUUUGAUGUAGCCUGCUCAAACUUCUUCACCGCAGUUUCAUUUUCUUUUAAACUACUUUGGUCGAAAAAACGAAUCCACCAAGAGGAACUCCGCAUUUUAGCCUUCAGAAACGAAACAGAUGUGUUAAUGAUAAGGUAAAUUUGAUCUUGAUACAUUCCGCAAAACAAAAAUGCUGAAUGAC